rnacentral:rRNA from 1 species
ACGAACGCUGGCGGCGUGCUUAACACAUGCAAGUCGAACGGAAAGGCCCUGCUUUUGUGGGGUGCUCGAGUGGCGAACGGGUGAGUAACACGUGAGUAACCUGCCCUUGACUUUGGGAUAACUUCAGGAAACUGGGGCUAAUACCGGAUAGGAGCUCCUGCUGCAUGGUGGGGGUUGGAAAGUUUCGGCGGUUGGGGAUGGACUCGCGGCUUAUCAGCUUGUUGGUGGGGUAGUGGCUUACCAAGGCUUUGACGGGUAGCCGGCCUGAGAGGGUGACCGGGCCAUAUGGGAAAGGAGAAGCGCCCCAGCCCCCGCGGGGGGGAAGGGGGGGGAAAAUUUGAAAAAGGGGGGGAAGCCGGAGGCCGCACCCCCGGGUGGGGGAUGACGCCUUUGGGGUUGUACCCCUUUUUCGCCUGGAACGAAGGGGGGGUGAGGGUAAGGGGAAAAGAAGCACCGCCUAACUACGU